CCUACGGGUCGCAGCAGUGGGGAAUAUUGGACAAUGGGCGAAAGCCUGAUCCAGCCAUGCCGCGUGUGUGAAGAAGGCCUUCGGGUUGUAAAGCACUUUCAGUGGGGAAGAAAGCCUUGGGGCUAAUACCCUCGAGGAAGGACAUCACCCACAGAAGAAGCACCGGCUAACUCCGUGACAGCAGCCGCGGUAAUACGGAGGGUGCGAGCGUUAAUCGGAAUUACUGGGCGUAAAGCGCGCGUAGGCGGUCUGAUAAGCCGGUUGUGAAAGCCCCGGGCUCAACCUGGGAACGGCAUCCGGAACUGUCAGGCUAGAGUGCAGGAGAGGAAGGUAGAAUUCCCGGUGUAGCGGUGAAAUGCGUAGAGAUCGGGAGGAAUACCAGUGGCGAAGGCGGCCUUCUGGACUGACACUGACGCUGAGGUGCGAAAGCGUGGGUAGCAAACAGGAUUAGAUACCCGUGUAGUC
rnacentral:rRNA from 1 species